AUUGAACGCUGGCGGCAGGCAUAACACAUGCAAGUCGAACGAGUGGCGGACGGGUGCGUAAUGUCUGGGAAACUGCCUGAUGGAGGGGGAUAAAUACUGGAAACGGUAGCUAAUACCGCAUACCAUCAGAUGUGCCCAGAUGGGAUUAGCUUGUUGGUGGGGUAAUGGCUCACCAAGGCGACGAUCUCUAGCUGGUCUGAGAGGAUGUGCAGCCACACUGGAACUCAGACACGGUCCAGCCUCGUACGGUAGGCAGCAGUGGGGAAUAUUGCACAAUGGGCGUAAGCCUGAUGUAGCCAUGCCGCGUGUAUGAAGAAGGCCUUCGGGUUGUAAAGUACUUUCAGCGGGGAGGCGUUACCCGCAGAAGAAGCACCUGCUAACGCCGUGCCAGCAGCCGCGGUAAUAC
rnacentral:rRNA from 1 species